rnacentral:lncRNA from 1 species
UCAGUGAUACCUAACAGCUAGUGGCAACCUAGCAGAAUCGAAAAAAAUCUCAAGGUAUAGUACCUAUAUGAUUCAGUCCUUCUAUCGUGAGUUCUGAUAUGAUGAAAGAUCAUGGAUAAAUCAUCAAACCUCAACAUCAAUCAUAUGAUAAAUUUAAUCAGCUUAAGUUUAAUAGUAAUUCUUAUAAUUUUUUUUUCAUAAAUCACACUACUGUGGUCACAGAUUUAAGGACAUAGCUUUUCAAAUCUCAUAGGACUACUCUCUCUCCAAAUCAAUAAAUUUCAUCUAGAUGCACAUCCUGCUCCUAUGGUGGACUAACUAUUGCCGACAUAUACAACAACAACUCA